UACGGGUAGGGUGCAAGCGUUGUCCGGAAUUAUUGGGCGUAAAGGAGCUCGUAGGCGGUUUGUCGCGUCUGCUGUGAAAAUCCGAGGCUUAACCCUGGACCUGCAGUGGGUACGGGCAGACUGGAGUGCGGGUAGGGGAGAUCGGAAUUCCUGGUGUAGCGGUGAAAUGCGCAGAUAUCAGGAGGAACACCGGUGGCGGAAGGCGGAUCUCUGGGCCGUAACUGACGCUGAGGAGCGAAAGCAGUGGGAGCAACAGG
rnacentral:rRNA from 1 species